rnacentral:rRNA from 1 species
UUAAUCUUAGUGGCGCACGGGUGAGUAAUAUAUAGCUAAUCUGCCCUACACUAGAGGACAACAGUUGGAAACGACUGCUAAUACUCUAUACUCCUUCUUUACACAAGUUAAGUCGGGAAAGUUUUUCGGUGUAGGAUGAGGCUAUAUCGUAUCAGCUAGUUGGUAGGGUAACGGCCUACCAAGGCUAUGACGCGUAACUGGUCUGAGAGGAUGAUCAGUCACACUGGAACUGAGACACGGUCCAGACUCC